CCUACGGGAGGCAGCAGUGAGGAAUAUUGGUCAAUGGACGCAAGUCUGAACCAGCCAUGCCGCGUGCAGGAAGACGGCUCUAUGAGUUGUAAACUGCUUUUGUACGAGGGUAAACGCAGAUACGCGUAUCUGUCUGAAAGUAUCGUACGAAUAAGGAUCGGCUAACUCCGUGCCAGCAGCCGCGGUAAUACGGAGGAUUCAAGCGUUAUCCGGAUUUAUUGGGUUUAAAGGGUGCGUAGGCGGUCGGAUAAGUUAGAGGUGAAAGCCCGAGGGUCAACGUCGGAAUUGCCGCUGAUACUGGGCGGCUAGGGGGGAGUUGCGGGAGGCGGAAGGGGUGGUGUAGCGGGGGAAGG
rnacentral:rRNA from 1 species